rnacentral:rRNA from 1 species
UGGGUGAUCUGCCCUGCACUUCGGGAUAAGCUUGGGAAACUGGGUCUAAUGCCGGAUAUGACUGCGAAUCGCAUGGUUUGUGGUGGAAAGCUUUUGCGGUGUGGGAUGGGCCCGCGGCCUAUCAGCUUGUUGGUGAGGUUAUGGCUUACCAAGGCGACGACGGGUAGCCGGCCUGAGAGGGUGACCGGCCACACUGGGACUGAGACACGGCCCAGACCUCCGUACGGGAGGNA